AGAGUUUGAUCCUGGCUCAGGACGAACGCUGGCGGCGUGCUUAACACAUGCAAGUUGAACGAUGAAGCUCUUCGGGGUGGAUUAGUGGCGAACGGGUGAGUAACACGUGGGUAACCUGCCCUUGGCUUUGGGAUAAGCCCUGGAAACGGGGUCUAAUACCGGAUAUGACCUGGUAGCGCAUGCUGCUGGGUGGAAAGUUCCGGCGGCUGAGGAUGGGCCCGCGGCCUAUCAGCUUGUUGGUGGGGUGAUGGCCUACCAAGGCGACGACGGGUAGCCGGCCUGAGAGGGCGACCGGCCACACUGGGACUGAGACACGGCCCAGACUCCUACGGGAGGCAGCAGUGGGGAAUAUUGCACAAUGGGCGAAAGCCUGAUGCAGCGACGCCGCGUGAGGGAUGACGGCCUUCGGGUUGUAAACCUCUUUCGCCCAGGACGAAGCGAGAGUGACGGUACUGGGAGAAGAAGCACCGGCUAACUACGUGCCAGCAGCCGCGGUAAUACGUAGGGUGCGAGCGUUGUCCGGAAUUAUUGGGCGUAAAGAGCUCGUAGGCGGUUUGUCGCGUCGACUGUGAAAACCUGGGGCUUAACUCUGGGCCUGCAGUCGAUACGGGCAGACUUGAGUUCGGUAGGGGAGACUGGAAUUCCUGGUGUAGCGGUGAAAUGCGCAGAUAUCAGGAGGAACACCGGUGGCGAAGGCGGGUCUCUGGGCCGAUACUGACGCUGAGGAGCGAAAGCGUGGGGAGCGAACAGGAUUAGAUACCCUAGUAGUCC
rnacentral:rRNA from 1 species